rnacentral:lncRNA from 1 species
AUGUCUACUCAGAUCUUUUGCCCAUUUUCAAUUGGGUUGUUGGCUUUUUUGCUCUUGAGUUGUAUAAGUUGCUUGUACAUUUUAAAGAUUAAGCCCUCAUCAGUUGCAUCAUUUGAAACUAUUUUCUCCCAUUCUGUAAGUUGUCUUUUUGUUUUCUUUUUGGUUUUCUUUGCUGUACAAAAGCUUGUCGGGGGAGUUCCCGUCGUGGUGCAGUGGUUAACGACUCUGACUAGGAACCAUGAGGUUUCAGGUUCGAUCCCUGGCCUUGCUCAGUGGGUUAAGGAUAUGGCAUUGCUGUUAGCUGUGGUGUGGUCACAGAUGUGGCUCAGAUCCCAUGUUGUUGUGGCUCUGGCGUAGACCAGCAGCUAUAGCUCUGAUUAGACCCCUAGCCUGGGAAUCUCCAUAUGCCAUGGGAGCGACCCUAGAAAAGGCAAAAAAAAAAAAAAAAAAAAAAAGCUGGAAUGAUAGAUUCCCAUGUAGAAAAAAUAGAAACAGAAAGACAGGCCCCAGACUGAUGGUCAGAGUUGAAAUUUUCUCCCGCGAGUUCCCAACAUUCCACAACCACAGUACCUUCGUUUUGAAAAGAAGGGUUUUAUUUGAUCACGGCUUCUAACAAUUCCUCUAUCUUAGACUCUGUUAACCUCUUUUUUUUUUUUUUUUUUGACUCUGUUACCUCUGAUUGUCUCAACAUACAUUUAAGCAAUUGAAUAUAAUAUUUAGUUUGCAGUGAUUGAUUCUGCCCCAUUGUUAUCCUGGUUUAAACUUUUUUUUUUUUUGGCUUUUUGUCUUUUUGCCUUUAUUCUAGGACUGCUCCUGCAGCAUAUGGGGGUUCCCAGGCUGGGGUCUAAUCGGAGCUGUAGCCACCGGCCUACGCCACAGCCACAGCAACUCAGGAUCUGAGCCAUGUCUGUGACCUAUACCACAGCUCAUGGCAACGCCGGAUCCUCAGCCCACUGAGCAAGGCCAGGGAUCAAACCCACAAGGAACCCUCAGAUUGCCUUGUCAGAUUCGUUAACCACUAAGCUACAACGGGAACUCCUGGUUUAAACUCUCUACUUGCCUACUCACAGUCACUACUCUCUCGAGUGCAAGGCUACCGUUUCCCCGACUGUAGUUUCACCUCUUCCUGCUCAAGGCAGACCUUCUCUUCUAGCCCCAGGUUGGGCGCCACUCCGUCGCAUGCAGAGCUGCAGGGAAAUGGCGAAUCCUGGAAGAGCGACAGCACAAGUAUACAAAACACACGAGACUACUUUACAUCUAGGAAGUGGGGGACCAGGGAGUUCCUGUCUUGGUGCAGUGGAAACGAAUCCCUGGCCUUGCCGAGUGGGUUAAGGAUCCAGUGUUGCCAAGAACUGUA